UGCCCGGAGCCCACGCCCCGGGAGGGAUCCUGCCCCAGGUCAGGAAACCUCCCCCGAGGUGGCGGCAGCGGCUUCAGCCAGCCCGGCAGAGACGGAGCGGAAAUUAGAAAAACCCGCCGGAGGACGAGCAGGAGGGACGAGGAUUUGCUUUGCAUGACGCGAAGAGAACGAUUGGAAAGGACUUGAAGUGGAGCAGAAAGCAAAGCCCACGGAGAGCAGCUAAGGUCAGAAGAGAAAUAACCCAGCAGGAGAGGAGCUCUCAUCUGAGGCACUGUACUGCAGCACAAAUCUAUGGAGAAGAUUGAAGACUUUAAAGGUAUAGGAAAACUGAAAUGUAAAAUAUACAAAAUACGA